rnacentral:rRNA from 1 species
UCAAGUGAAGAAGCGCAUACGGUGGAUGCCUUGGCAGUCAGAGGCGAUGAAAGACGUGGUAGCCUGCGAAAAGCUUCGGGGAGUCGGCAAACAGACUUUGAUCCGGAGAUCUCUGAAUGGGGGAACCCACCUAGGAUAACCUAGGUAUCUUGUACUGAAUCCAUAGGUGCAAGAGGCGAACCAGGGGAACUGAAACAUCUAAGUACCCUGAGGAAAAGAAAUCAACCGAGAUUCCCUUAGUAGUGGCGAGCGAACGGGGAUUAGCCCUUAAGCUUCAUUGAUUUUAGCGGAACGCUCUGGAAAGUGCGGCCAUAGUGGGUGAUAGCCCCGUACGCGAAAGGAUCUUUGAAGUGAAAUCGAGUAGGACGGAGCACGAGAAACUUUGUCUGAACAUGGGGGGACCAUCCUCCAAGGCUAAAUACUACUGACUGACCGAUAGUGAACCAGUACCGUGAGGGAAAGGCGAAAAGAACCCCGGAGAGGGGAGUGAAAUAGAACCUGAAACCGUAUGCGUACAAGCAGUGGGAGCCUACUUGUUAGGUGACUGCGUACCUUUUGUAUAAUGGGUCAGCGACUUAUAUUCAGUGGCAAGCUUAACCGUAUAGGGUAGGCGUAGCGAAAGCGAGUCUUAAUAGGGCGUUUAGUCGCUGGGUAUAGACCCGAAACCGGGCGAUCUAUCCAUGAGCAGGUUGAAGGUUAGGUAACACUGACUGGAGGACCGAACCCACUCCCGUUGAAAAGGUAGGGGAUGACUUGUGGAUCGGAGUGAAAGGCUAAUCAAGCUCGGAGAUAGCUGGUUCUCCUCGAAAGCUAUUUAGGUAGCGCCUCAUGUAUCACUCUGGGGGGUAGAGCACUGUUUCGGCUAGGGGGUCAUCCCGACUUACCAAACCGAUGCAAACUCCGAAUACCCAGAAGUGCCGAGCAUGGGAGACACACGGCGGGUGCUAACGUCCGUCGUGAAAAGGGAAACAACCCAGACCGCCAGCUAAGGUCCCAAAGUUGUGGUUAAGUGGUAAACGAUGUGGGAAGGCUUAGACAGCUAGGAGGUUGGCUUAGAAGCAGCCAUCCUUUAAAGAAAGCGUAAUAGCUCACUAGUCGAGUCGGCCUGCGCGGAAGAUGUAACGGGGCUCAAACCACACACCGAAGCUGCGGGUGUCACGUAAGUGACGCGGUAGAGGAGCGUUCUGUAAGCCUGUGAAGGUGAGUUGAGAAGCUUGCUGGAGGUAUCAGAAGUGCGAAUGCUGACAUGAGUAACGACAAUGGGUGUGAAAAACACCCACGCCGAAAGACCAAGGGUUCCUGCGCAACGUUAAUCGACGCAGGGUUAGUCGGUUCCUAAGGCGAGGCUGAAAAGCGUAGUCGAUGGGAAACAGGUUAAUAUUCCUGUACUUCUGGUUACUGCGAUGGAGGGACGGAGAAGGCUAGGCCAGCUUGGCGUUGGUUGUCCAAGUUUAAGGUGGUAGGCUGAAAUCUUAGGUAAAUCCGGGGUUUCAAGGCCGAGAGCUGAUGACGAGUCGUCUUUUAGAUGACGAAGUGGUUGAUGCCAUGCUUCCAAGAAAAGCUUCUAAGCUUCAGGUAACCAGGAACCGUACCCCAAACCGACACAGGUGGUCGGGUAGAGAAUACCAAGGCGCUUGAGAGAACUCGGGUGAAGGAACUAGGCAAAAUGGCACCGUAACUUCGGGAGAAGGUGCGCCGGCUAGGGUGAAGGAUUUACUCCGUAAGCUCUGGCUGGUCGAAGAUACCAGGCCGCUGCGACUGUUUAUUAAAAACACAGCACUCUGCAAACACGAAAGUGGACGUAUAGGGUGUGACGCCUGCCCGGUGCCGGAAGGUUAAUUGAUGGGGUUAGCGCAAGCGAAGCUCUUGAUCGAAGCCCCGGUAAACGGCGGCCGUAACUAUAACGGUCCUAAGGUAGCGAAAUUCCUUGUCGGGUAAGUUCCGACCUGCACGAAUGGCGUAACGAUGGCGGCGCUGUCUCCACCCGAGACUCAGUGAAAUUGAAAUCGCUGUGAAGAUGCAGUGUAUCCGCGGCUAGACGGAAAGACCCCGUGAACCUUUACUGUAGCUUUGCACUGGACUUUGAGCCUGCUUGUGUAGGAUAGGUGGGAGGCUUUGAAGCGUGGACGCCAGUUCGCGUGGAGCCAUCCUUGAAAUACCACCCUGGCAUGCUUGAGGUUCUAACUCUGGUCCGUGAUCCGGAUCGAGGACAGUGUAUGGUGGGCAGUUUGACUGGGGCGGUCUCCUCCUAAAGAGUAACGGAGGAGUACGAAGGUGCGCUCAGACCGGUCGGAAAUCGGUCGCAGAGUAUAAAGGCAAAAGCGCGCUUGACUGCG